UGGGGAAUUUUGGGCAAUGGGCGCAAGCCUGACCCAGCGACGCCGCGUGGAGGAUGAAGGCCUUCGGGUUGUAAACUCCUGUCAGGUGGGAAGAAAUCUCUGCCGGUGAAUAUCCGGCAGCGUUGACGGUACCACCAAAGGAAGCCCCGGCUAACUCCGUGCCAGCAGCCGCGGUAAUACGGAGGGGGCAAGCGUUAUUCGGAUUUACUGGGCGUAAAGCGCACGUAGGCGGCAUUGCAAGUCGUAGGUGAAAGCCCUCGGCUCAACCGAGGAAUUGCCUUCGAAACUGCGCUGCUUGAGUCCGGGAGGGGGGAGCGGAAUUCCCAGUGUAGCGGUGAAAUGCGUAGAUACUGGGAGGAACACCGGUGGCGAAGGCGGCUCCCUGGACCGGUACUGACGCUGAGGUGCGAAAGCGUGGGUAGCAAACAGGAUUAGAUACCCUGGUAGUCCACGCCGUAAACGAUGGGCACUAGGUGCAGCGGGUGUCGACCCCUGCUGUGCCGAAGUUAACGCAUUAAGUGCCCCGCCUGGGGAGUACGGUCGCAAGGCUG
rnacentral:rRNA from 1 species